UGGAGAUCUAAAUACUAAAUAAUUAAGAAUGUUUAUCUUUUGAAUGUCUGAAUGUAUAAGAUUUGCCUUUAUUUAAAAGUUUAUAAAUAUAAAAUUUUAUAAAAUACUAAAUUAAUCUAAUACUCUAUCAAUAACAACAAAUUAUAAAUUAUUUUGGUGGUUGGUGGUGGUGAUGGCUAGUGGUGGUGGUUGUCGGUGUCGAUUAGGGAUGUUGUUAGUUAAUGAUGGUGUUGUGGGUUGUAGAUAGUGUUGAUGGUGGCUGGCAAUAGUGGUUGAUGGUGGUAGUUGGGGCUAGCGAUUAAUAGUUAUGGUGGAUGAUAGUGUUAGCUAAUGGUGAUGGUGACUGAUGACAGUGGUUGGCAAUAUAUAGUGGUGACUAAUAGUGAUAUUUGUCAAUAGUGAUUGAUGGUUGUUGUGAUAAUGGUGAUUGGUGGUGAUGAUUGUAAAUGGUGGCUAGUGGUUGUGGUCAAGUAUGGUGGCUAGUGGUUGUGGCCUAGUAUGGUGGCUAGUGGCUGUGGCCUAGUAUGGUGGCUGGUGGUUGUGGCUAAGUAUGGUGGUUGUGGGGUGGCAACAAUGGUAGUUUACAAUGGCUGGUGAUGUCGGUAGCGGUGAAUGAACAAAAUUGAUGAACUGCGAUCUUUGUAGAAAUCUUUGAAUAAGCAUCCUAAUGAUAUUUAAACUUUGUUACAUAUCUUAAUUAUUCAGAUGUAUUCAAACCCAUUAAAUGGUUAAAACAUUAAACAAAACAUAAUGGUUAAGAUCUUAAUGAUUAAAAUUCAGACCUACAAAUCAACGGACUUAAUAACUGAAAUUUGAAUGAUUAUGAUUUAAGACUUUAAUCUAGUGUAAACAAAUUAGGUCCAAGUAUCGAACCGUGCAUCAUUAGCCCUUUGGAGUUUCUCAGUUGCCAAAAAAACUUCAUUGUGUACUGAUAUAAUAUUGCUAUUGAUGAUAGGGGCUAUUGUCGAUAGUCUCAGGUUUGCGUCUUACUCGUUUAUGAUGGAACUUAGAUUAUCUGUACCAAGUUGCAUAUAAAGGCGUGAAACCUCUUUAUGAUGAAUUUGAAGACAUGAGCUAUCCUCUCCUCUCAAAAUUUCCAUUAACACUUGCCUAAUGCCCAUUUAUUUUCACUUAAACAGUGUUUUGAAUCCAUUAAGUGUUUUUUUCCUUCUUCAACCACUUAUUUGCUAUGAAUAAAUCUGGUUCAUUCAGAUUUUGUACGUAACUUUAGAAUCAUUAACAUGUUUGCUUAAAGAUUUCAUCAAAGGUGACCUUUUACUACCACUACACAACCACCACGACUAGUGUCCACCGCACAACCACUAUGGGCUGUUCUCAUUGCCAACCACCACCCCCAGCCACCUCAAUAACCACUACUAGC
rnacentral:lncRNA from 1 species